GAAUAAGGUAUAAAGGGCAUACGGUGGAUGCCUUGGCACCAGUAGCCGAUGAAGGACGUGGCAAGCUGCGAAAAGCUGUGGGGAGGUGCAAGCGACCAUUGAUCCGCAGAUAUCCGAAUGGGGCAACCCGCCUGUAGGAGUACAGGCAUCCCGUAAGGGAAGGAACCCGGCGAAGUGAAACAUCUCAGUAGCCGGAGGAAGAGAAAUCGAAGAGAUUCCCUGAGUAGUGGUGAGCGAAAGGGGAAGAGCCUAAACCGAAUACAUGUCAAGACUGCGGUCGUUGUGUAUUUGGGGUCGAGGGAAUGUCAAAGUGAGUCCGCAGGCUCACGACAGAGUUAUCAAUACAUUUUCUAGUUGAAGUGUGUUGGGAAAGCACGCCAUAGAAGGUGACAGCCCUGUAGGUGACAGGAAAUGUACUCUGUAGACAUCUCCCGAGUAGGCCGGAGCACGUGGAAUUCCGGUUGAAUCAGGGUGGACCAUCAUCCAAGGCUAAAUACUACUGGUGACCGAUAGUGAAUCAGUACCGAGAGGGAAAGGUGAAAAGCACCCCUGGCGGGGAGUGAAAUAGACCUGAACCCGUGUGCCUACAAGCAAUCGGAGCGCAACCAUACAGCGAUGUAUGGCGCGUGACGGUGUGCCUUUGUAAAAUGAGCCGACGAGUUAUUAGACGUAGCGAGGUUAAGGUGCGUUAGCACUGGAGCCGUAGGGAAACCGAGUCUGAAUAGGGCGCGAGUUUCGUUUAAUAGACCCGAAGCCGUACGAUCUAUCCAUGGCCAGGUUGAAGUCCGGGUGAAGCCGGAUGGAGGACCGAACCAUUGUCUGUUGAAAAAGACUUGGAUGAGCUGUGGAUAGGAGUGAAAAGCUAAUCGAGUGCGGUGAUAGCUGGUUCUCCCCGAUAUGCAUUGAGGUGCAGCCUUGCGAGUUCAGUUAUGGGGGUAGAGCACUGGAUGGAUGCGGGGGACUGGGGUCCUACCAAAUUCAACCAAACUUCGAAUACCAUAACUGUAUUGCAGGAGUGAGACUACGGGUGAGAAGGUCCGUGGUCGUGAGGGAAACAGCCCAGACCGUCAGCUAAGGUCCCAAAGUGUAUGCUAAGUGUGGCAAGGAUGUGAGAGUGCCUGGACAGCCAGGAGGUUGGCUUAGAAGCAGCCACCCUUUAAAGAGUGCGUAACAGCUCACUGGUCGAGGACUUUUGCGCCGAAAAUGUAGGGGGCUAAGCAUACUGCCGAAGCUGCGGGAUAAUUGAUGAGUAUCAACUAUCGGUAGGGGAGCGUUCUGUACGGGGUGAAGCCGAACCGAGAGGUCGUGUGGACUGUAUGGAAGUGAGAAUGUCGGCAUAAGUAACGAGAAGUGCGUGAGAAACGUACUCACCGGAAGCCCAAGGGUUCCUGGGGAAGGUUCAUCCACCCAGGGUUAGGCGGGACCUAAGGCGAGGCUGAAGAGCGUAGUCGAUGGAUAGCAGGUAGACAUUCCUGCCCCAGCCUGAGACCGUUAUUACUGAAGGGGUGACACAGAAAGCUAGGUGAUCCGGGUGAUGGAAUACCCGGUCCAAGGGAGUAGGAAGGCAUUGCAGGCAAAUCCGCGAUGUUAGUUCUGAGACCUGAAGGGGAGGUUCUACGGAACCGAAGUCAUUGAAGCUCGGCUGUCGAGAAAAGCCUCUAGGGAGGUCUUAAGCUGCUCGUACCCGAAACCGACGCAGGUGGGCUAGCUGAGAAGGCUAAGGUGAGCGGGAAAACCCUCGUUAAGGAACUCUGCAAGUUGACCCCGUAACCUAGGGAGAAGGGGUGCCACUCUGGUGAUGUGUAUAUACGAUACAGAGCUAAGGGUGGUCGCAGAAACCAGGCUCAGGCGACUGUUUACUAAAAACAUAGGUCUCUGCAUAAGGCGCAAGCCGAAGUAUAGGGACUGACACCUGCCCGGUGCUGGAAGGUUAAAUGGAGAGGUUAGCGUAAGCGAAGCUUUGAUAUGAAGCCCCAGUAAACGGCGGCCGUAACUAUAACGGUCCUAAGGUAGCGAAAUUCCUUGUCGGGUAAGUUCCGACCUGCACGAAUGGUGUAACGAUCUGAGCACUGUCUCAACGAGGGACCCGGUGAAAUUGUGGUACUGGUAAAGACGCCAGUUACCUGUGGUGGGACGGAAAGACCCCGUGGAGCUUUACUGUAGCCUGAUAUUGGAUUUUGGUCUGUUAUGUACAGGAUAGGUGGGAGGCUGUGAAUGCAGGACGUCAGUUUUGCAGGAGCCGUUGUUGGGAUACCACCCUUGACAUGCCGAAGUUCUAACUUUGAGGUCUGAAACGACACAGAGGACAGUGUCAGGUGGGCAGUUUGACUGGGGCGGUCGCCUCCUAAAGAGUAACGGAGGCGCGCAAUGGUCACCUCAGGGCGCAUGGAAAUCGCCCAUAGAGAGCGCAAAGGUAUAAGGUGGCUUGACUGUGAGAGAGACGUUUCGAGCAGGAACGAAAGUUGGUCUUAGUGAUCCGGCGGUUCCGAGUGGAAGGGCCGUCGCUCAACGGAUAAAAGCUACCCCGGGGAUAACAGGCUGAUCCUGCCCGAGAGUUCCUAUCGACGGCAGGGUUUGGCACCUCGAUGUCGGCUCGUCGCAUCCUGGGGCUGAAGCAGGUCCCAAGGGUUGGUCUGUUCGCCCAUUAAAGCGGUACGUGAGCUGGGUUUAGAACGUCGUGAGACAGUUCGGUCCCUAUCCACCAUAGGCGUAGGGUAUUUGAGGAGAUCUGCUUCUAGUACGAGAGGACCGAAGUGGACGAACCUCUGGUGUACCGGUUGUAGCGCCAGCUGCAUAAGCCGGGUAGCUAUGUUCGGGUCGGAUAACCGCUGAAGGCAUCUAAGCGGGAAGCCGCCUCCAAGAUGAGAUACCCCAUUCCGAUAGGGAAGUAAGGUGUCCUGAAGACGACAGGAUAGAUAGGCCGGGAGUGUACGAGUUGUGAGGCUCUUAGCUGACCGGUACUAAUACAUCGAGGCCUUAUUCUC
rnacentral:rRNA from 1 species